AUACUAGGUGGACUCGUACAGAAAACCUCCCCUGUUCUUAUCAGCUUAAUAUCUGAUACGGGUUGUAUUUGGACCUAAGAUAUUGAAUUUAUUUUUGCAAGUUAGCAGAGUGCUUAAAGCCUGCUUCACCUCUGCUGCGGGUCAGCCCAGUAUUGCACUGUCUUUGGGAUUGGCCCACGUAUG